rnacentral:rRNA from 1 species
UCAUGGCUCAGAUUGAACGUUGGCGGCAUGCUUUACACAUGCAAGUCGAACGGCAGCGGGGGCUUCGGCCUGCCGGCGAGUGGCGAACGGGUGAGUAAUGCAUCGGAACGUGCCCAUGUCGUGGGGGAUAACGUAUCGAAAGGUACGCUAAUACCGCAUACGUCCUGAGGGAGAAAGCGGGGGAUUCUUCGGAACCUCGCGCGAUUGGAGCGGCCGAUGUCGGAUUAGCUAGUAGGUGAGGUAAAGGCUCACCUAGGCGACGAUCCGUAGCGGGUCUGAGAGGAUGAUCCGCCACACUGGGACUGAGACACGGCCCAGACUCCUACGGGAGGCAGCAGUGGGGAAUUUUGGACAAUGGGGGCAACCCUGAUCCAGCCAUGCCGCGUGAGUGAAGAAGGCCUUCGGGUUGUAAAGCUCUUUCGGCCGGGAAGAAAUCGUGGUCUCUAACAUAGGCCAUGGAUGAC